rnacentral:rRNA from 1 species
UACGUAGGGGGCAAGCGUUGUCCGGAAUCAUUGGGCGUAAAGCGCGUGUAGGCGGUUCGAUUAGUCUGCUGUGAAAGUCCAGGGCUCAACCCUGGGAUGCCGGUGGAUACUGUCGGACUAGAGUACGGAAGAGGCGAGUGGAAUUCCCGGUGUAGCGGUGAAAUGCGCAGAUAUCGGGAGGAACACCUAUUGCGAAGGCAGCUCGCUGGGACGUUACUGACGCUGAGACGCGAAAGCGUGGGGAGCGAACAAG